rnacentral:rRNA from 1 species
GAUCCUGGCUUAGGACGAACGCUGGCGGCACGCUUAACACAUGCAAGUCGAACGGAGAAUAUUUGAGUUACUUAGAUAUUCUUAGUGGCGGACGGGUGAGUAACACGUGAGCAACCUACCUUAGAGAGAGGGAUAGCUUCUGGAAACGGAUGGUAAUACCUCAUAACAUAACUGAACCGCAUGAUUUAGUUAUCAAAGAUUUAUCACUCUGAGAUGGGCUCGCGUCUGAUUAGAUAGUUGGUGAGGUAACGGCUCACCAAGUCGACGAUCAGUAGCCGGACUGAGAGGUUGAACGGCCACAUUGGGACUGAGACACGGCCCAGACUCCUACGGGAGGCAGCAGUGGGGAAUAUUGCACAAUGGGGGAAACCCUGAUGCAGCGAUGCCGCGUGGAGGAAGAAGGUUUUCGGAUUGUAAACUCCUGUCUUAAAGGACGAUAAUGACGGUACUUUAGGAGGAAGCUCCGGCUAACUACGUGCCAGCCGCUGC